UUUGUAGGUGGCUUGCUAAGUCAGACGUGAAAUCCCUCAGCUUAACUGGGGAACUGCGUCUGAGACUGGUGAGCUUGAGUGCAGGAGAGGAACGCGGAAUUCCAGGUGUAGCGGUGAAAUGCGUAGAUAUCUGGAGGAACACCGGUGGCGAAGGCGGCGUUCUGGACUGCAACUGACACUGAAAAACGAAAGCCAGGGGAGCAAACG
rnacentral:rRNA from 1 species